UGUCGUUGGACCUAUCUCAGGAUGAUUCGCUUUGGGGUAGCGCUGCAAAUCCUAUUCAGGGCCCAGAUGAAGGGUUAGCAUCAGUAAAAUCUCUCCGGAACGUGUCACGAAAAGGCAUACCUUCAUUUGCCCAUAGGUCGUCAUUCCCUCCGGCUGCCGUGACCUUUUCUAGAGGCCACUCUCUGAUCUAGAGACAGUAAUGAAGGGCCCAUUCGCCGAUUCUAUCCUGGACAUUUGACAGCCACCCUUUCGCAACGGGUAGACAGCGUACCAAUGAAUUAUAUUCCGUGAUGUUAAAAAAUGC
rnacentral:sRNA from 1 species